rnacentral:tRNA from 1 species
GCCGUCAUAGUAUAGUGGUUAGUACAUCACGUUGUGGUUUCCCGUGAAAACCUCAGUUCGAUUCUGGGUGACGGCA